AAAGGAAUAGACGGGGGCCCGCACAAGCGGUGGAGCAUGUGGUUUAAUUCGAUGCUACGCGAAGAACCUCACCAGGGCUUGACAUCCUCGGACCGCCGUGGAAACACGGUUUCCGUAGCAAUACGGCCGGGAGACAGAUGCUGCAUGGCUGUCGUCAGCUCGUGUCGUGAGAUGUUGGGUUAAGUCCCGCAACGAGCGCAACCCCCAUCCUGUGUUGCCAGCGAGUAAAGUCGGGAACUCACAGGAAACUGCCCCUGUAAGGGGGAGGAAGGUGGGGAUGACGUCAAGUCAGCAUGGCUCUUACGUCCUGGGCUACACACAUGCUACAAUGGAUGCGACAAAGGGAAGCGAGGCCGCGAGGCGGAGCGGAUCCCAAAAAGGCAUCCGUAGUGCGGAUUGCAGUCUGCAACCCGACUGCAUGAAGGCGGAAUCGCUAGUAACCGCAGGUCAGCAGUACUGCGGUGAAUACGUUCCCGGGCCUUGUACACACCGCCCGU
rnacentral:rRNA from 1 species